GACGAACGCUGGCGGCGUGCUUAACACAUGCCAGUCGAACGGUAAAAGACUACCUUGCUCUUCUGGAUCAGUGGCGAACGGGUGAGUAACACGUGAGUAACCUGCCCCUGACUCUGGGAUAACCGCUGGAAACUGGGGCUAAUACCGGAUACGAGAUACAGCUGCAUGGCGACGGUCGGGAAAGUUGAUCGGUUGGGGAUGGACUCGCGGCCUAUCAGCUUGUUGGUGGGGUAGCGGCUCACCAAGGCAAUGACGGGUAGCCGGCCUGAGAGGGUGACCGGCCAUAAGGAGACAGAGAGACCCCAGAGUCCACUGGGAGAGGCCGGGGGGGAGAAUGGUGCACUGGGGGCAAGCGCCGUACGGAGCCGCGCCGCGUGGGAGAUGGCGGUUUGCGGGUUGAAACCCUUUUGCCGGUGAGAAGAAGCGAGUGACGGGAAUGGGUAAGGAGAAGCCGGCGAACUAUGCG
rnacentral:rRNA from 1 species